rnacentral:lncRNA from 1 species
GGUUUGGACUAAUACAUGCACAGUAUAAUUUUUUCUGACCUAGUUGAACAUAAUCCUGAAAUUGAAUGACUGAUCCAUGUUACACUUAAUAAUCAAAUGGCUAGAAAUUCUGAGAACCACCUAGGCAGAUGAAAGAAUAUUUUAUUUCUUUCACUUAUAAUCCAUCGAUGUUUCGAUCAUUCUAUAGGAUCAAAUAUUCUGACUCUAGUUCUGAGGUCGAUUUGAACCUGCUAGCCCAAAAAUUAGAUAAAGUUGACCUUCUUAUAGAUAAAUGCCUAGC